rnacentral:rRNA from 1 species
GACGAACGCUGGCGGCGUGCCUAAUGCAUGCAAGUCGAACGCAUUCUUCGGAAUGAGUGGCGCACGGCUGAGGAACACGUGACUAACCUACCCCGGUGUGGGGGAUAACGGGUCGAAAGACUCGCUAAUCCCGCAUACGAUAUCCUUUGGAUAGGAAAGCCGUAAGGCGCACGGGGCGGGGGUCGCGUCCCAUUAGAGGGUGGGUGUGGUAAUGGCGCAGCAAGUCGAUGAUGGGUCUCUGGUCUGAGAGGACGACCAGACAGCUUGGGACUGAGACACGCCCCAUACUCCUACGGGGGGCAGCAGCAAGGAAUUUUCGGCAAUGGGCGCAAGCCUGCCCGAGCAACGCCGCGUGGAGGAUGACGGCGCUUGGGUUGUAAACUCCUUUUGGGGGGGACGAUAAUGACGGUACCCUCCGAAUCAGGCCCGGCUAACUACGUGCCAGCAGCCGCCGUAAAAC